UUUGUUUUCCAGCUUUUGCAGAGAAAUCCACCUUAUACAUUGGGCACGAGAUUCCCCCUUACACACUGGCCAGACACCAAAAUUUACAGCCGUGCUGGACUCAAACCUGCCUACGCUGGCUUUGUACCAUGCCUUCGAGACCUCUGCGGGCUCACUUAUGGCAAUGCCACGCGGGAAUCCUACCGGUGUGAACAGAGGAGACGGGGAAUUGCACUGUGAAAACUGCUUUAAUGGUGCCUGUACAGCAUUGGGAGUGACUCGGAAACAGCAAUAAUAACACAACACAAACAGAACUUUUGAAUGAGAGAGUUCAUACAAC